CCCUAAAAUCAAUCAAGCUCUCUCUUCUUUCUCUUUCCCAAACACAUGGUGCCGCUCCUUCUCCUCCAAUCUUCUCUCGGCGUUUACACAUGCCGGUGAAAUGACGACGUACGCUGGCAUCAUGAACAAGCGACGAACACCGAACACCAAUUUACACCGAUUCAACCGAUUUGAGUUUCAGAAAACUGUUUCUUUCACGAACUGAUUCUUGUGUUUGUUUUUCAGGAACUGAAAGCUAGUUGGAGACUUGCUUUGACGGACAAUUAUUGGUUUUUUAAGAUCUGCGUUUGGAACUGUUGGUGGUGGUGGUGGUGGCAUUUUUGUUCCUAUGCUUACUCUUAUUAUCGGUUUCGAUACAAAGUCUGCUGCAGCUCUUUCCAAAUGUAAGAAUUCAAACCAUAUCAUUGUCCAUUUUUAAAUUGCAAAAAUGUCUUCAACCCUUCAUUCAAAUUGCAAUCCGGUGAAACACCACACCAUCGUUUCUCCACCACUAUUUUCCAUAUGUCAUUCUCUUUUCUCACAUAUAUGGAUUGCUGAAACAAAACAACAUCCAUUGUUCUCUCUUUUUGCAACAUCCGUUAACAAUCGAACGAGACAGCGGUCGUUCCGAUCUUUGUUCUUUGAUUGUCCAGAUUCACGCUUCUCCUCUCCUAACAACAACUGGUUAUUAAAUUCUGAGAGAGUCUGAAGUGAGCGGGAAAUAUCUGCAUUUGAAGCUUAGAAGAAGUUCAAGGAUGGGAAAGAGGUUUUUAAUGGUUGACAACUCUUGUUAUCUUGUAUCACGCGUUGGGAUAACGUUUCCCUUCACUAAGGUCUUGUCGGUAUUAAUAUUAGUUGCGUAGCUUCUGAUCGAGACAACUUUCCCCUCAAUGUUUUUCUAAGUUUUUGUACUUUUUGUUCUGAUUUCUGUUUAAAAUUUAUAUAAUCUAUGCUGUGUUCAAAUUAUGCGGUUUCAUAGAUCCGUUAUCUUGUCAAUGCUUGUAUUGGACGUUGAAGGAUGUUUCUAUACAUGGGAAAACAUAUGAGAUAUGAAUAUGAAGUUCUAAUAUCUUUUAGAAAUUAUUUAUUAAUUAUUUAUGUUUUUUUGUUGUUUUUUUUAAUUUAUGAGAUUGUUGGUCAUAAGGUGCAACUCGGUCAUGGAGAUACCAUUCAACAUUUCAACAUGAUAGGUUAAUAAUGGUCAGUGAAAGUUGUUACUUGUGAGUCAUUGAACAAUAUUGUUAGGAUAAUCAAUGGAGUAUCAUCACUUUUGCUGGCAUUAGUUCCUGCAAAUGCAAAAAUACUUGAAGGUAUUCAUGGUUGGGAACUCAUACCUACUUUUCUAGGACCAUAUUUUUCGCAUUGGAUGGAGAAGACUUUUUCAUUAUUGCAAGAACAUAUCUUGGGAAAUUUUGCGGUUUGGUUUCCAGAGAACAUGUCAACAAGAACAUAUCAUCGCGUCAGAACUUCUUUAAGGUCUUUCUUUAAAGGAACUGAGAUGUGCAAAGAAGAAACUCUUCUCAAAAAAUAAAUGGCUCAAGCGCAAACAAAUUUUGUUAAUUCUCGUGGCGAACACCUCAAUUUCUAUAAUACCUCAUUCAAGCCAAGUCUGCCAAAGGAUUUUCAGGCGACUACUCUGCUAUAGCAUCAUUCAGACCUUGUCGCUUUUGCAUCUGAGUCGGCAACCAACAUAAGGACUAUAGCAUCAUUCUGUCACUGUUCUUGACAAUUUCAGUUUUCUUGAAAUUGAAUAUUGACUUCUGAUAUGCAUGUAAUGUAUAUAGAUAAGACACUAAUGUGUUAUGGUUUAGGAAUGGUUUGAAUUGAAAGGGUGGUUGCAGGAAAUUUAUGAAAGAAUAUUGCAAAGCAUCUUAAUUU